rnacentral:rRNA from 1 species
UACGUAGGCAGCAAGCGUUGUCCGGAGUUACUGGGCGUAAAGGGUGCGUAGGCGGUCCUAUAAGUAUGGUGUGAAAUCUCCCGGCUUAACUGGGAGGGUGCGCUAUAGACUGUGGGACUAGAGUGUGGGAGAGGAAAGUGGAAUUCCUGGUGUAGCGGUGAAAUGCGUAGAUAUCAGGAGGAACACCGGUGGUGUAAACGGCUUUCUGGACCAUAACUGACGCUGAGGCACGAAAGCGUGGGUAGCAAACAGG